AGAGUUCGAUUCUGGCUCAGGACGAACGCUGGCGGCACGCUUAACACAUGCAAGUCGAACGGAGAAUUUUGGUUUACUGAGAUUCUUAGUGGCGGACGGGUGAGUAACACGUGAGCAACCUGCCUUCAAGAGAGGAAUAAUUUCUGGAAACGGAUUGUAAUACCUCAUAACAUAGCGGAAUCGCAUGAUUCUGUUAUCAAAGAUUUAUCACUUGAAGAUGGGCUCGCGUCUGAUUAGAUAGUUGGUGAGGUAACGGCUCACCAAGUCGACGAUCAGUAGCCGGACUGAGAGGUUGAACGGCCACAUUGGGACUGAGACACGGCCCAG
rnacentral:rRNA from 1 species